GAAUUUCUUUAUUUCUUCUGUUUGACUUUGUUUUGCUUGUUUGUUUUGGGCUGGUGGUGGUGGGGUUUGUUUUUAACCAUUGUUACUGCUGUUCUGUUGGCACUAACGCAGGAAUGCAGGAGCUGAAUGUAUGAUUUACCUGUGAGCCUACCUUGUCUAAAAACACCCCAAAGGUCCAGCACUGUGGCUGUGGUGUGCCUCUUCCUUCACCUCCCAGAACUCACGCUGGAUCUGCCCACCUGGCGCUCAGCUUGAGGAUCACCAAAACCCUCAAGGAAAGCUUUCCAGGAUCACGUCCUCCUAAGAACCAAACUUUUAAAAGGUCACUGUGGCUUUGAAGCAUUAACCAGGCAUCUGCCUGCCUCUUUAAACACC